rnacentral:rRNA from 1 species
UACGUAGGUGGCGAGCGUUGUCCGGAUUUACUGGGCGUAAAGAGCGCGCAGGCGGUCGUACAAGUCGCGUGUGAAAGCCCCCGGCUCAACUGGGGAGGGUCACGCGAUACUGUUCGACUCGAAGGCAGGAGAGGGAAGUGGAAUUCCCGGUGUAGUGGUGAAAUGCGUAGAUAUUGGGAGGAACACCAGUGGCGAAGGCGGCUCACUGGACCGGAACUGACGCUGAGGCGCGAAAGCGUGGGGAGCAAACGGG